rnacentral:misc_RNA from 1 species
AGAAUCACCUGGUAGCAGGAUGGCUUUGCAUAAUAGAAGCGACUCUCCAACCAAGGAUGAAUUGCCUACAAGAAUCUCCAAAAUGGAUUUUGAUUGAAAUAGCUCAGAAUUCCAUUCGAGAAACAUCUUCUUCUGUUCCUAAUGGUGAACCCGAUGGCUGGUUUACCUCUAAUAAACAGAAACUGGCUCCUAAUCCAGAACUUCUAGCUUCAGUUUCUGAUCGUGAAUUGAAAUCUGAUUCUUCUCUCAGUGAACCAGACAUAGAACACGAAUCUCAGGAAUUGGAGUUACAUCAGCAAAAAAGUGAUCAUAUGAUUGAUGAAAGGAUGAGAAUGAUUGAUGAUGCUAGCAAUGUCCUAGAUGUUGAGAUAGAUUCUUCGUUUGCUAAUGAGCAGCAUAGUAAUGCAUCUAAAGCUCUUGGCGGAACAGAUUGUUUGGCAGUAUUCACUGAUGUAAUUGACAAUUCUGUCCUUGAGCAGGAAAGAGGUUCUGAACAUUGCUUCCUUGUGCCAAUGAGUGAUCAGAAAAAUUGUAGCAUUGAGAAUAAUGUCAAUUUGGUUGGCUUGGACAAGCAAGAGAUUUUCAAUACUGACAAAGUGGAUAAAAUGUGUAGUGUAGAGGUAGAAACUGGCUUUGUAAGCAAUAAGAGUGAAGCAGAUGGUAAUAUUGUGCAAGAAACUGUACAGGAAUCUUUCAAAGAAGAUCAGCUUCAGCAAGGGGUUCCAGAAACACCUGUAUCUGUAUUGCAACCAUCCCAUGGUUUUUCAGUGCCCAAUGUGAACUUGGAUAAGGAAGAAACAAAAUGUAGUGUGAUGGACCAGAAGCGUGACAAAAUAGCUGGAUUUGAGGAGUUGAAGUUGGAGGAAAUUGAACAACUAAAAUUUAGUUUUGGGACUGGGCAAGAACCUAGUUCUCUGCCAGAGGUGCCAAUAAAUAUGGAAAAUCAUACUGAGAUGGAAGAGGCAUAUGAUGCCUCAGUUAAGUUUGAACCAGAGAUUGUAGAUACAGUUGGUGGACAGCAACUUACAACUGUUUGUGUAUGGUGUGGGGUGGAGUUCAGCCAUGAGGCUGUAGAUUCUUGCCUUGCAGAGAAGUGCAGUCGGAUUCAGUUGGUUAUAUGUGUCCGAUCUGCAAGGCAAGAAUCU